rfam:Caenorhabditis briggsae complete genome, chrIII
GCGAAUCCCGGCAAUCACCGUGCAUUUUCAUCUACCAGAGGCACUAAUGAAAAUGCCAGUCAUUGACGGAAUUCG